GUGGGCCAGUGGACUUGCAGGAGAGUGGAAGAGGGCAGAACCUAAUGUGAAUGCAAGAACCUGCCAAGAAAUCCAAUGGCCAAGAUGAUUGAUUAGUGCAGGACCUGAGAGAACCUCCUUGAAUGACAACCUCGAGCAGUUUCCAGUAUUGGAUUGAAAAGAUGGCCUUUGCUGCAUCUCCUGGAGCAAGGAAAGCCAAAAAACCUUUGCCUUUGAAGGAGAAAAUCUGGAAAGCAAGAAGGAAGUAAAGAAGCCCCCUGACUCCUCCCUGAGCCCCAGACAGCCCCUGAACUGCCUUCCUGGGAAUGGUGGGACAGACUGGACUCUGGAUUGCUCCCUCUGGAUGUGUGUGGGAUGUAGCCUGGAAACUGGACAGAGCUGAGGCAAGGGAUUUAAAGGGACCACCCAAGGGAGGUGAAGAAAGAAGGAAGAAGGGAACUGAGGCAGCAGCCAAGCAGCACCAAGUUGCUGUGUCAGCAG